GACAGUGUAGAGAAGUAGAUGGAAAAAUACCACACACCCUAAUGAGGGGGUGACCUCUAUAUAUAUGGCCAAUAUAGCUUAAAGUAGAAGGAAUAUAUCAAGUGUACAAGGAAAGGAUAAAUACAUCCUAAAAUACACAUAUACUUCCUAAUACCCGCCCAUAGUUGAAGCGGGAGGAUCACGAACGCACAGACUGGACCUAAACUCAGUAAACAAAGGAGUUGGCAGGUCUUUCGUCAUAAUGUCUG
rnacentral:lncRNA from 1 species